CUCAUUCAGUGGUAUUGGUGGGAUGAGUAGCACUGCUGUUGGUCAGGGGAGAGACCCCAGUUUGGAAUACAUCUAAACUCAGAGAACUAGUAAUGAAAAUAUCCCUUGAACAGUAUCAGGCUGUUCUCCCUCUUAACUAAGAAAGAAAGAGAACCAGGUGUGUGAGAGGUGGAGUCCAACAGGACAGCUCCUGUUCACAGACGCAAUCCGUUCUUCUCUGCAUGUCACUAUUUGGACUGCUCUUCAGCCUGCCCCUGAGCAGAACAAACUGGAAAUGGCUUUUAUUUCUUAUUUGUGUUGAACUGCAGCUGUACUUUUUACUUUUUUGACAGCUUUUAAAAGUUUUGAGCAAGUCCUUCAGAAGCUAAUCUGAACCCAAAAUAAAUACUGCUGCAGCUCCGUGCUCCUGAACGUAAGUAAUCUUAAAGCCUGGGUAAGAAACCAUCACUCCAACCCAUAAACAAUGGUUUUUCUUUGCAGAUCCAGUGUCCCAAGCAAGCCUUCAACAGGAAGUGCAAGCCCUUCAGCAUCUUGAAACUAUAGGCAAGAAAAAUCACCACUGCAGCCUCUGCAACAGACUGUAUUCAACGCCCAUGGUGCUGUCAAAGGUUUACUGAGGCUCCACAACAUAGGGACAUGGAGUUUAGUAGAAAACAUGCUGUCUGCCAUGCUGCCUGCCAUGCUGCAAACUCCACCCGACUGCCUUUGAGACCACUUCAGAAAUACUGAAGAAAACAGGAAAAUCUAUGGGUGUAACUGCUGCGAAAAAUUCUUCAGUAAAGUCUGGACCACAAAUGGACAACAGAAGAAAAGACUGACUGGUUGGCAAGGAUGUGUUAACACUUUCUUCUGACACAUUAUGGAAGAUCUUAAGCAACACAAUUUUCCAGCAUCAAUUCCCCCUGAAACGGUACAGCUACUCAUAAAAUAAGCAAACUGCAAUUCACUGGCUCAGGUUUGGUUGGAGUUUUUUCUCUCUAGGCUACAAAUCUUAUUAUGCUAUUUUUUUUAAAGUUGUGAGAUUAUUUGUAUCUGUUGCCAAGAUUUAAUUAAAUGAUUGCCGAGAGGGGUGGAUAUUACCAGCGGUUCAUUAAAUGGUUUUAACAAAAUGUAGGAAGAUCCAGUACCAUGUGAUUUUAUUUUUCUUUCCCCUAAUGCUUCGAUAUAUUGAACAAGACAAGUGAACAUUGUGGAACUUCAUGUGAAUAUUUAAUAGAAUCUUCCAGUAAACAUUAAAUGAUAGUGAUUGAUACAUGAUAAAUGGCCAUGUAUGCUGUGCAUCUCUUCAAAGCACUU